rnacentral:rRNA from 1 species
AACGAACGCUGGCGGCAUGCCUAACACAUGCAAGUCGAACGAGACCUUCGGGUCUAGUGGCGCACGGGUGCGUAACGCGUGGGAACCUGCCUUUAGGUUCGGAAUAACUCAGAGAAAUUUGAGCUAAUACCGGAUGAUGUCUUCGGACCAAAGAUUUAUCGCCUUUAGAUGGGCCCGCGUUGGAUUAGCUAGUUGGUGGGGUAAAGGCCUACCAAGGCGACGAUCCAUAGCUGGUCUGAGAGGAUGAUCAGCCACACUGGGACUGAGACACGGCCCAGACUCCUACGGGAGGCAGCAGUGGGGAAUAUUGGACAAUGGGCGAAAGCCUGAUCCAGCAAUGCCGCGUGAGUGAUGAAGGCCUUAGGGUUGUAAAGCUCUUUUACCCGAGAUGAUAAUGACAGUAGCGGGAGAAUAAGCUCCGGCUAACUCCGCG